GACGAACGCUGGCGGCGUGCUUAACACAUGCAAGUCGAACGGAAAGGCCCUGCUUUUGUGGGGUGCUCGAGUGGCGAACGGGUGAGUAACACGUGAGUAUCCUGCCCCUGACUUUGGGAUAACUUCAGGAAACUGGGGCUAAUACCGGAUAGGAGCUCCUGCAGCAUGGUGGGGGUUGGAAAGUUUCGGCGGUUGGGGCUGGACUCGCGGCUUAUCAGCUUGUUGGUGGGGUAGUGGCUUACAAAGGCUUUGACGGGUAGCCGGCCUGAGAGGGUGACCGGCCACAUUGGGACUGCGAGACGGCCCAGACUCCUACGGGAGGCAGCAGUGGGGAAUAUGGCACAAUGGGCGGAAGCCUGAUGCAGCAACGCCGCGUGCGGGAUGACGGCCUUCGGGUUGUAAACCGCUUUCGCCUGUGACGAAGCGUGAUUGACGGUAAUGAGUAAAGAAGCACCGGCUAACUACGUG
rnacentral:rRNA from 1 species